GAAGAGUAACAACAGAAACACUAGCUAAACAUAUGAAAGCAACAUUACACUUUCUCUAAUCGUGGUGGAAACACCAGGUAUUGUGGUGCACAUGGGAAAUGGUGGCAGAAAUCACGUGUCUUUAUUCUAACCUCUUUCUCUAUUAAUGUA